GGUCUGAAAAAGCUGGGCUGCACACUGGAUUUGCUGAAAUGGAAGGCAGAGGCAGGUGUAGCUGACUCGGCAUUUGAAAACUUGCUGAUAAUGUUGAAGAAUAUGUUUCCAAAGGAUAACGAGUUGCCCGCCAGUACGUACGAAGCAAAGAAGGUUGUCUGCCCUCUAGGUUUAGAGGUUCUGAAGAUACAUGCAUGCAUCAACGACUGCAUCCUCUACCGCGGUGAAUACGAGAAUUUGAAUGAAUGCCCGGUAUGCACUGCAUUGCGUUAUAAGAUCAGAGGCGAUGACCCUGGUGACGAUGUUGAGGGCCAGAAACCCAGGAAGAGGGUUCCCGCCAAGGUGAUGUGGUAUGCUCCUAUAAUACCAUGGUUGAAACGUCUGUUCAGGAACAAAGAGCAUGCCAAGUUGUUGCGAUGGCACAAAGAGGACCGUAAGUCGGACGGGGAGUUGAGACACACCGCAGAUGGAACGCAAUGGAGAAAGAUCGACAGAUGGUUCAAAGAUUUUGCAGCUGACGCAAGGAACAUAAGAUUUGCUCUAAGUACGGAUGGCAUGAAUCCUUUUGGCGAGCAGAGCUCCAGCCAUAGCACC
rnacentral:rRNA from 1 species